rnacentral:rRNA from 1 species
AUGCCGCGUGAGUGAUGAAGGCCUUAGGGUCGUAAAGCUCUUUCGCCAGGGAUGAUAAUGACAGUACCUGGUAAAGAAACCCCGGCUAACUCCGUGCCAGCAGCCGCGGUAAUACGGAGGGGGUUAGCGUUGUUCGGAAUUACUGGGCGUAAAGCGCGCGUAGGCGGAUCAGAAAGUUAGGGGUGAAAUCCCGGGGCUCAACCCCGGAACUGCCUCUAAAACUCCUGGUCUUGAGUUCGAGAGAGGUGAGUGGAAUUGCGAGUGUAGAGGUGAAAUUCGUAGAUAUUCGGAGGAACACCAGUGGCGAAGGCGGCUCACUGGCUCGAUACUGACGCUGAGGUGCGAAAGUGUGGGGAGCAAACAGGAUUAGAUACCCUGGUAGUCCACACCGUAAACGAUGAAUGCCAGUCGUCGGGUAGCAUGCUAUUCGGUGACACACCUAACGGAUUAAGCAUUCCGCCUGGGGAGUACGGUCGCAAGAUUAAAACUCNAG